ACAAGACAGGGAAGAAGAAGAAAGCAUUAAGUGUAGCAGCCACCAGGUGUACUUUAAAAAGUGAGUGGUCAACCAAAUGGCCAUUCAUUACCAUAGGCACCAGCAGCUCCUACAACUGGUGCUCUGUUUGCAGACAGGAGAACUCAGGUGUGAACAGGCACAUAAAACAUAAAGGUCAUCAGGCCAAAGAACAGGCACUUCAGUCAACAAGCAGCAUAAUUUCUAUUUGUGCUGGUCAAUUAUGAACAACACUAUGUAAAAUUAAACUGCUAGCAAAAACUUGAGAGAAUUUGGUGGGGCAGAGGGGCCGCUGCUGCAAAUAUUUCAGUGGCUCCUCCCCUAACAGAUGUAAUCUCACUCCAAACUUUUAAUAAAACUUGAGAGCUCUGCUUUUAAUGUAGCGAAUUGGUCAAAAACAACAUAUCUGCGAAAAACCUAAUAAAAGUGACAUAUAAGACAGAACAUUCUCUAAUAUGUAUAAUAUCAUAUCGAUUUAUAAGUAAUGUAGCAAUUCAUUAUUUUAUACGCUUUUAUGUAUGUUAAACGCGCUUCACUGCGCGCUCAGGUGAUUCAUUCAUCUUCAGGCGCGCGGCGGUGAGAGGGGUCUCGUACCUGUGGUGAUAUCCGCCAUGUUUGCGCGGUUUGGAGCGGACACGAGCAAAACAAUGGAUUAUUUACCAAGAGAUAUUAAUGUUUGAGGUCAUUUCGACAAAACGGCUCUGGUAAGCAUCGACGCACAUUUACAUUUGUAGUAUUUUACUUAGCAGACGCUUAUAAAGGAACUUGCUAAAAGUUUUCACGUGACUGCCGCGAAAGCUUUCUUGGCUUGUCUGCAAAGUUUCGGUAUGCCACCUACAGCUAAUAAACGGACGAAAUCUUCUUCAUCUUUGAUCUAAGCAUUAUGUGGAUCUCGAGUGUUUACGCUGCGCUAAACUUUGACGAGCAACACUCCGAUCUGCAAACAAACCCAUAUGGUAAAAAAAAUAUAUUUUAUCUGGCCAAAAUAUAUUUUAAAUAUAUGGAUUGUAAACAGUGAAUUUCAAUGAAAUAUAUUUUUGAAACUGAAAAUAUAUUUUGUUUCAACCUUCAUAUACUUAAAAUAUAUUUAAAAUGUAUUUCAGAGGCAAGAAAAUACAUUUAUAUUUAAAAAUAUAUUUCAGGGUGCAAGAAAAUACAUUUCCAAUCUUACAGUCGACAAUGCAAAUGUGGGUGGAAGAAAGCCUUAAGAUCAAAACUACAUUCCAUUAAAUGUUAGAAGAAUUUUAAACAGAAAAAAAACAUUAUUUCCCCAUAUUUUCCACAUUGACCAAUUUUGUUCACAUGAUCUUCCCAAAAAAUACAGUGAUCAUGGCACUUGAUCCCCAGCCUUUAUUGGAAACACCCUCAUAAAAGUGUGGCCUAUUUUAAUCUAUUAUUCAUUAAUUUAUUAAUUCAUUUGUUUAUUUAUUUGUAAUUUAAUGUCAGUGUAAUAUAGCGUUUAAAUGCACGUCAAAUAAAAAUAAAUAGAUGAAUAAAAUCGCUAGAUGUACGAUGUUAAUGACUGUGAUGUAAUUUGAAUGGGAAACCACUAGCAGCGCUCACGGACUUUUGGAGUACUGCGCAUGCGCGUCAUUUUGAGCUGUAACGGUCGUCAGUCAGCCGGGAGUUCUCGGAGGAAAAGGUGAGUUAUAACUUUAUUUUUAGUCAUCAUUUUUCACAUAUGUAAUGUUAAUUGCUACUUUGGAUGUAUAAUGUUUUGUAUUGUCAAGGUUUUUAACUUUAUUUGUCAAUUUAAUGACCUGUUUGUUUUAUUUGCUCACAUGAGGAGACGCAUCUGAGAUUUUUAGAUUUUAAACGUUAGUUGUUUUUAAUUUGGACACUAACGAAAACUAACGUUACACAAAAAAAAUGUGUAAUAUUUUUUUCAAUUUCAGCUGUAGAGUGUUUGGGAGACUGUGCCGCUUGCUGUUGUCGAUCGAUGAUGCUCGCGUGAUCCUGUCACUGAUAGUGGAGCAUAAGCGGAGAUAGUUUGUGCAACAGCAACAAGGUGCAGGUCCAAACCCAUCUGUCAAGAUGCUUCUUUGUCCUCUUACUGUCUGCCCCACCAGCCCAGUGCUGGAGAGCCUCUGACCACAAGUCAUAGAAAAAGAGGAUGUCAUAAUCAUCUGGAACAGCAUGAGGGAGCAAAGAGCAAAACUGACAGUGGUGGAGAGAGAAGAAGUGCCCUUGACGAGGAAACCAUGGCAGCCAUAUAGUCAAGAAGAGAUUUCCAAAUGUGUCCAAAGAGGCUUUGAGGAUUUGAACUGGGGAAACUGAGACUUCUUGAAAGCAAAAAAGUUAUAUUUUUUUGAAUAUAUUGUAAUAAUGUAUAUUUUUUGAGCAUUGUAAAGUAUGUUCCUUGCUGAUUUUUAUUCACAUGUUCACGUGUU